rnacentral:rRNA from 1 species
UACGAAGGGGGCUAGCGUUGUUCGGAUUUACUGGGCGUAAAGCGCACGUAGGCGGAUUGUUAAGUCAGGGGUGAAAUCCCAGAGCUCAACUCGUGGAACUGCCUUUGAUACUGGCAAUCUCGAGUCCGGAAGAGGUGAGUGGAACUCCUAGUGUAGAGGUGGAAUUCGUAGAUAUUAGGAAGAACACCAGUGGCGAAGGCGGCUCACUGGUCCGGAACUGACGCUGAGGUGCGAAAGCGUGGGGAGCAAGCAGG